UAAAUAAAUAAUUCAAUACCAGAUUAUUAUUAGUUAUGUUCUUUAAAAUUAAAGAUUUUGGCGGUAUUUUAGACUUUUCAGAGGAACCUGUUCUGUAAUUGAUAUUCCACGAUUAAUUAAACUAAUUUUAGUAGUUUGUAUAUCGUUGUAGUUGAAUAUUUUAAAAGAAGAAUAAUAUUCAAAAAUUUGUAUUAAAAAAAAAAUCAAAUCAAGGUGCAGCUUAUAGAUUAGAAGAAAUGGGUUACAUUAAAGAUAUUUAUGGUUUUAAUAAUUUAAAUUAUUAAAUAAAUUGGAUUUGAAAGUAAUUUAAUUUAGUUUAAUUAAAUGAUUUUAGCUCUAAAAUAUGU
rnacentral:rRNA from 1 species